UACAGAGGUCCCAAGCGUUGUUCGGAUUCAUUGGGCGUAAAGGGGGCGUAGGCGGUGGGGUAAGUUGGAUGUGAAAUCUUGGGGCUUAACCUCAAAAUUGCAUUCAAUACUGCUCUGCUCGAGUUCUGUAGAGGAGAUUGGAAUUUACGGUGUAGCAGUGAAAUGCGUAGAUAUCGUAAGGAACGCCAGUGGCGAAAGCGAAUCUCUGGGCAGCAACUGACGCUGAGGCACGAAGGCCAGGGGAGCAAACGGG
rnacentral:rRNA from 1 species